AGAGUUGAUCAUGGCUCAGAACGAACGCUGGCGGCAGGCCUAACACAUGCAAGUCGAGCGCGCCCUUCGGGGUGAGCGGCGGACGGGUUAGUAACGCGUGGGAACGUACCCUUUGGUAGGGAAUAGCCACUGGAAACGGUGAGUAAUACCCUAUGAGCCCUUCGGGGGAAAGAUUUAUCGCCAAAGGAUCGGCCCGCGUUAGAUUAGGUAGUUGGUGGGGUAAUGGCCUACCAAGCCUACGAUCUAUAGCUGGUUUUAGAGGAUGAUCAGCAACACUGGGACUGAGACACGGCCCAGACUCCUACGGGAGGCAGCAGUGGGGAAUCUUGGACAAUGGGGGCAACCCUGAUCCCAGCCAUGCCGCGUGAGUGAAGAAGGCCUUAGGGUCGUAAAGCUCUUUCGCCUGUGAAGAUAAUGACGGUAGCAGGUAAAGAAACCCCGGCUAACUCCGUGCCAGCAGCUGC
rnacentral:rRNA from 1 species